UACAGGACGAACGCUGGCGGCGUGCCUAACACAUGCAAGUCGAACGGGGUCCAUGGGAGCUUGCUCCCGGAAGACCUAGUGGCGAACGGGUGAGUAACACGUGAGCAACCUGCCCGGACUCGGGGAUAACCAAGGGAAACCUUGGCUAAUACCGGAUGCCCUCACGGAACCGCAUGGUUCUGUGAGGAAAGUUUUUUCGGUCUGGGAGGGGCUCGCGGCCUAUCAGCUUGUUGGUGGGGUAACGGCCCACCAAGGCAGCGACGGGUAGCUGGUUUGAGAGAACGAUCAGCCACACUGGAACUGAGACACGGUCCAGACUCCUACGGGAGGCAGCAGUGGGGAAUCUUGCGCAAUGGGGGAAACCCUGACGCAGCGACGCCCGCGUGAGCGAAGAAGGCCUUCGGGUUGUAAAGCUCUGUUGUAAGGGACGAAUGUCUAGGGUAGUAACUGACCUUAGAAUGACGGUACCUUACCAGCAAGCCCCGGCUAACUACGUGCCAGCCGCCGC
rnacentral:rRNA from 1 species